GAUGAACGCUGGCGGCGUGCCUAACACAUGCAAGUCGAACGGAGAUUUGACGCUGMWGAGRCUUCGGCSRAWUCUUGUUAAAUCUUAGUGGCGGACGGGUGAGUAACGCGUGGGCAACCUGCCUCAUACUGGGGGAUAACAGUUGGAAACGACUGUUAAUACCGCAUAAGCGCACAGCAUCGCAUGAUGCAGUGUGAAAAACUCCGGUGGUAUGAGAUGGGCCCGCGUCAGAUUAGCUAGUUGGCGGGGUAACGGCCCACCAAGGCGACGAUCUGUAGCCGGACUGAGAGGUCGGACGGCCACAUUGGGACUGAGACACGGCCCAAACUCCUACGGGAGGCAGCAGUGGGGGAUAUUGCACAAUGGAGGAAACUCUGAUGCAGCGACGCCGCGUGAGUGAAGAAGUAUUUCGGUAUGUAAAGCUCUAUCAGCAGGGAAGAAAGGCUCGUAAGAGAGAUGACGUA
rnacentral:rRNA from 1 species